rnacentral:rRNA from 1 species
CCUACGGGAGGCAGCAGUGGGGAAUUUUGGACAAUGGGCGCAAGCCUGAUCCAGCCAUUCCGCGUGCAGGAUGAAGGCCUUCGGGUUGUAAACUGCUUUUGUACGGAACGAAACGGUUCUCUCUAAUACAGGGGGCUAAUGACGGUACCGUAAGAAUAAGCACCGGCUAACUACGUGCCAGCAGCCGCGGUAAUACGUAGGGUGCAAGCGUUAAUCGGAAUUACUGGGCGUAAAGCGUGCGCAGGCGGUUUUGUAAGACAGAGGUGAAAUCCCCGGGCUCAACCUGGGAACUGCCUUUGUGACUGCAAGGCUGGAGUACGGCAGAGGGGGAUGGAAUUCCGCGUGUAGCAGUGAAAUGCGUAGAUAUGCGGAGGAACACCGAUGGCGAAGGCAAUCCCCUGGGCCUGUACUGACGCUCAUGCACGAAAGCGUGGGGAGCAAACAGGAUUAGGUACCCUGGUAGUCCACGCCCUAAACGAUGUCAACUGGUUGUUGGGUCUUCACUGACUCAGUAACGAAGCUAACGCGUGAAGUUGACCGCCUGGGGAGUACGGCCGCAAGGUUAAAACUCAAAUGAAUUGACGG